rnacentral:rRNA from 1 species
GUGAGGAAUAUUGCGCAAUGGAGGCAACUCUGACGCAGCCAUGCCGCGUGCAGGAAGAAGGCGCUACGCGUUGUAAACUGCUUUUAACCGGGAAGAAACCCCAGGACGUGUCCUGGGUUGACGGUACCGGAGGAAUAAGCACCGGCUAACUUCGUGCCAGCAGCCGCGGUAAUACGAAGGGUGCAAGCGUUAUCCGGAUUCAUUGGGUUUAAAGGGUGCGUAGGCGGAGCGUUAAGUCAUUGGUGAAAUCCUGCAGCUUAACUGUAGACUUGCCAUUGAUACUGGCGCUCUUGAGUGCGCUUGAAGUGGGCGGAAUGUGCCGUGUAGCGGUGAAAUGCUUAGAUAUGGCACAGAACACCAAUUGCGAAGGCAGCUCACUAAGGCGAUACUGACGCUGAGGCACGAAAGCGUGGGGAUCGAACAGGAUUAGAAACCCUAGUAGUCC